AACGAACGCUGGCGGCAGGCCUAACACAUGCAAGUCGAGCGAGCAUUUCGGUGCUAGCGGCGGACGGGUGAGUAACGCGUGGGAACGUGCCCUUUUCUGCGGAAUAGUCCUGGGAAACUGGGGGUAAUACCGCAUACGCCCUUUUGGGGAAAGAUUUAUCGGAGAAGGAUCGGCCCGCGUUGGAUUAGGUAGUUGGUGGGGUAAUGGCCCACCAAGCCGACGAUCCAUAGCUGGUUUGAGAGGAUGAUCAGCCACACUGGGACUGAGACACGGCCCAGACUCCUACGGGAGGCAGCAGUGGGGAAUCUUAGACAAUGGGGGCAACCCUGAUCUAGCCAUGCCGCGUGAGUGAUGAAGGCCUUAGGGUUGUAAAGCUCUUUAAGCUGGGAAGAUAAUGACGGUACCAGCAGAAGAAGCCCCGGCUAACUCCGUG
rnacentral:rRNA from 1 species